GACGAACGCUGGCGGCGUGCUUAACACAUGCAAGUCGAACGAUGAAACCUAGCUUGCUAGGUCGAUUAGUGGCGAACGGGUGAGUAACACGUGACUAACCUGCCCCUUUCUCUGGGAUAACGCUCCGAAAGGAGUGCUAAUACCGGAUACUCACACCGAGGCACAUGCCUUGGUGUGGAAAGUUUUUCGGAAAGGGAUGGAGUCGCGGCCUAUCAGCUUGUUGGUGAGGUAACGGCUCACCAAGGCGACGACGGGUAGCCGGCCUGAGAGGGCGACCGGCCACACCGGGACUGAGACACGGCCCAGACUCCUACGGGAGGCAGCAGUGGGGAAUAUUGCACAAUGGGCGCAAGCCUGAUGCAGCGACGCCGCGUGAGGGAUGAAGGUCUUCGGAUUGUAAACCUCUUUCAGUAGGGACGAAGCGAAAGUGACGGUACCUAGAGAAGAAGCACCGGCUAACUACGUGCCAGCCGCCGCAGUAA
rnacentral:rRNA from 1 species